GGAGAUGUAUCGAAGUGGUCAUAACGAGGUGCACUCGAAAUGCAUUUAUCAGGAAACUGAUACGGGGGUUCGAAUCCCUCCAUCUCCGCCA
rnacentral:tRNA from 1 species